AUUGAACGCUGGCGGCCGGCCUAACACAUGCAAGUCGAGCGAGCGGCGGACGGGUGAGUAAUGUAUGUGGUCUGCCCGAUAGAGGGGGAUAACUACUGGAAACCGUGGCUAAUACCGCAUACUAUCGGAUAACCCAUAUGGGAUUAGCUAUUAGGUGGGGUAAAGGCUCACCUAGGCGACGAUCUCUAGCUGGUCUGAGCGGAUUAUCAGCCACACUGGGACUGAGACACGGCCCAGACUCCUACGGAGGCAGCAGUGGGGAAUAUUGCGCUAUGGGUGCAAGCCUGAUGAAGGCAUGCCGCGUGUAUGAAGAAGGCAUUAGUAUUGUAAAGUACUUCCAGAGGAGAGGCGUUACCCGCAGAAGAAGCACCGGCUAACUCCGUGCCAGCAGCCGCGGUAAUAC
rnacentral:rRNA from 1 species